GCCAUAUCAUAAUCAAACAUCGCUUCCUGUAUGAUCACUGAAGUUAAGCAAUGUCGAGCCUGGUCAGUACCUAGAUGGGUGACCUUUUAAGAAUACUAAGUGCUGUAAG